CUCUGCCCACUUCCAAUCAUGCCCCCUUGCAACUUCUUUAUUUCUUGGGAUUGGACAAUGCACUCUAUGUCUUGAUGAAUUGGUCACUUGCCACGGCUUCAGUUAUAGCAUAAGGAUUUUCCUUGGGAAUAAUGGAGCUAAUUCAGUGACAAGAAAGCAACUAUGAAGUACAUCAGAUAGAUGUUUAGAAAACUAUUCUAAAUGGUUUGGUCAAAAUCAAGGAUCUGGAUCAUCUAGCUAUACUGAAAGGCUAUCUUUGUGAUAUAUAUAUUUUUUCCUGUUGCUUUCGUAAGUACAUUUGAUGCGUACUAAUCAUUUAUGGAAAAUUUUCCGUGCAAGAUUUGUCCUAAUCAUUUUUGCUGACUCCUACUUUCCUUGUAUUUUUACAGGAAUCAUAGAGGCUUCCUAAUCUUUUUUUGUAUGCAUCAGAGUGAUGAAUCGACUUGACAUCAAUCAUCUUUCGAGUUUUGGAAGGGAGCAAUUUUGGCACUAUAUCCUAACCUGAAGUGGUGCUUAUGAGAAUUUGACUUGAAAAACACACUACCGCAUACCAGAUCAGAUAAAGAUGUUACAAAAUCGAAUUUGGAGGACAACCGUCAGUGAGCUUAAGGACGUUGCCUUAUUCGCUCCUUAUGUAUGUGUAUAACUUGGUCCCUUUAUGUUACUUGUUGUCACAUGUUGAAGCCCGAGAUUCAUUUUUCGCUAUGUGUUUUGCCCUUAUAUUUUCAUGCAUGUUCCUGUCUGCUUUGAUUUGCCAAUUGACACGUGUUCUCAUGACCACCAAUACACCCAACACUGCAAAGAGGGUCUUUUCUCCGAAAGAUCAAAGGAACGCUGGGCUCAAAUGUGUGCUUCGGAGACAAAGAGCUGCUGAAUUCAAUGAUAAUGGCUAGAGCUCUGCUGCUGUUGGGAUCUUUUUUGGUGUCCUUAUAAAAUAUUAUAAUAGUGGGUUUAUUUUUUUAACAUUUGAUGCAUUGCCUUCUCAAUACAUAUAUCCAGUUCUGGUUUUAGUGAGCACCUGAAGCCUGAAGGUAUCAAGAAAAAAAUAUAUCCUUAUUACAUUGAACUCUAAUGUACCGUGUAGAUGAUGAGACACUUAGGGGUGGUUCUGCUUGCAGAUGGUACCUCAGUGAAGACUUGCCUAAUAUUGACUCUUGCUUUGAAAGGUGUGUUCUAGAGGAAGAAGAUGGAGUUCUAUAAUUCUAUAGAAGAAUUGGGCUUAAAUCUUACAGUUCAAACAGCUGAUGCCAUCCAGUUUUUUGCAAAGGAUGUUAAUAUUAUCACAAAACCUUCAGUAUUGAAGCUAGCAAGUUGACAUCAGCAAUCAAUCAUGUUAUCGCUCAACUACAUGAUGGUUCAAUAUGAGGUGAAGCUGGUCCCUAUAUAUAUACCUCUUAUGUUUCAAUUGCAGGUCGGGGUAGCAUGGGCCGUUGAGAGGAAGGUGAGAUGUGAAAGGGGAGAGGAGAUGACAAAGGUUGCAAAGAGAAGAAAUGCUAUCUAGGCACAACUCGGAGGAGAGAGGCAGGCAAAUCACUAGCGGUCUAUUAUUGUUCUGAUUUCCACCUUCUAGAAUGGUUUUUUUGCCAUAGAAAUGCUAAUGUCAAACUUGUUUUCUUAUAAUUUAUGAAUUAUCAACUAUGUGGAGCAUCAAGUUUUGACGUGUUCAGUGUGUGUGUGAUACCAAUUCUCUGAUUAUGGUUAGUUGUGCACAACU